rnacentral:rRNA from 1 species
GAGUUUGAUCCUGGCUCAGGACGAACGCUGGCGGCGCGCCUAACACAUGCAAGUCGAACGGGAUGCGGAGAGGAUUUAUCUUUUCUGUGUUUAGUGGCGAACGGGUGAGUAACGCGUGAGGAACCUGCCUCAAAGAGGGGGACAACAGUUGGAAACGACUGCUAAUACCGCAUAAGCCCACGGUCCCGCAUGGGAGAGAGGGAAAAGGAGUGAUCCGCUUUGAGAUGGCCUCGCGUCCGAUUAGCUGGUUGGUGAGGUAACGGCCCACCAAGGCGACGAUCGGUAGCCGGACUGAGAGGUUGAACGGCCACAUUGGGACUGAGACACGGCCCAGACUCCUACGGGAGGCAGCAGU